rnacentral:rRNA from 1 species
AGCGAACGCUGGCGGCAGGCUUAACACAUGCAAGUCGAGCGGGCCUUUCGGGGUCAGCGGCGGACGGGUGAGUAGCGCGUGGGAACGUGCCCUCUGGUUCGGAAUAACUCAGGGAAACUCGAGCUAAUACCGGAUACGCCCUUUUGGGGAAAGGCUUGCUGCCGGAGGAUCGGCCCGCGUCUGAUUAGCUAGUUGGUGAGGUAACGGCUCACCAAGGCGACGAUCAGUAGCUGGUCUGAGAGGAUGAGCAGCCACACUGGGACUGAGACACGGCCCAGACUCCUACGGGAGGCAGCAGUGGGGAAUAUUGGACAAUGGGCGCAAGCCUGAACCAGCCAUGCCGCGUGAGUGAUUAAGGCCUUAGGGUAGUAAAGCUCUUUUAUCCGGGACGAUAAUGACGGUACCGGAAGAAUAAGCCCCGGCUAACUUCGUG